UACAGGGGGGGCAAGCGUUGUUCGGAAUUACUGGGCGUAAAGGGUUUGUAGGUGGCCACUUAAGUCAGACGUGAAAUCCCUCAGCUUAACUGGGGAACUGCGUCUGAUACUGAGUGGCUUGAGUGCAGGAGAGGAACGCGGAAUUCCAGGUGUAGCGGUGAAAUGCGUAGAUAUCUGGAGGAACACCGGUGGCGAAGGCGGCGUUCUGGACUGUAACUGACACUGAAAAACGGAAGCCAGGGGAGCAAACGGG
rnacentral:rRNA from 1 species